GUCUCAAUCUCCUGACCUCGUGAUCCGCCUGCCUCGGCCUCCCAAAGUGCUGGGAUUACAGGCUGAGUCACCGGCUGAUUGUUUUAAGGAAAGGAGCAGUUUAUUUCUGCAGCUCACCACUUCCCAGGGAGCCCAUGCUUUGUGAGCCUGUGGUCUCAAGAGUUCCCCAUCCAGAGUGGGGAGUCAGGCCACUGGAACAGCCUGCAGAAAUCAAGCAGGGUUUUAAAACAUGGAGUGAAAGUUAUACACACUUGCAAGAGGAUGAAAGUCCAGAUUCUCCCAUCACCAGCCUCUCUCAUAGGCAGAGGUGGCCAUGUGACCCAGUUUCGGCUAACGAGAUGUAAGGUGGACUCUACUCAGGGUCUUCCAGGAAAGAUAUUUUCCUUUCUAAUUGUGGUGAAGACUGCCAGUCACCUUGAGAAAGGAAGCUGUGACUAGUAGAAUGACAAGAGAGAUGGAGGCUUGUUUUCUGAAGGGAUCACAGAGUAAGUAAACCUCAUACCAAUCCUGGACAACCUACCUCCUCUAGAGUGGCGAGAACAAGAUUUUGCCUUGCUCUAGACAUUCUAAUUUUGGGUCCCUAUCACUCAUUAUCAAAACUAAUCCUAACUGAUUCACUAAUGAGAGGGAAGAGUUACAUGAAGACAACUUUCUUGCUCAGUCACGGGCAAUCUGUCUCCCAUGAUCUGCCUGUGAACACAAUGUUUGCAUCUGUGGCAGCCACCUUGCAGCCCUGAGUGAACAAGGUUGAAAAGCAACACACUGAGGAUGGUGGAGCAGAAAGCUGGAAAGCAAUGAGUCCUCAGUGAUGUCACUGAGCUUCCAAGCCCAUCUAUUUCUGUACAUUUUUUGAAAAAGUAAACAACAAGUAUCCUCACAUAGUAAGCCACCGUUAGUCCAGUUCCCUGCUACUGGUAUCUUAAUUAACUUGGUUUACACAAAUCAGUAGUUCCUUGUCUCAUGCCUGCUCAUCCUGAUUCUGUCUCUGGUAGGGAACCACUUUCAACUCUUAGCUGCUUUUCUUUGCUGUUUAGCUAACUAGGUAAAAUAAAAGGAUGAUGAUUUUGCUCUCUUAAAUAACUCCUUUUAUACACUUCCUUAAUGUCUUAAUGUCUCUCCUUCUGUCUCUCAAUAUAGCGAAGCCACUAUUUUUGUUCAUCUUGACUUUGUCAAUAUUAUUUACAGCUGAGACAUAGUGUUCUACAACUUCAUUUUUUUCUUUUGCAACUUUUCCUUGGAAUCAUUAAUUGACUUCCUGUAUCAUUUGCUUAGUUUUCUAUGUAUCUAUCAAUAAUUCAUUCCCAUAUAUUUCACUAAAGCUGUAAAACUCGUUUUACUCCAUUUAAACACAUGAAGUAAUCAAAUAGUUCCUUUAUUCCUGUAGGAGACAUCUCCCUGGGAGCCUCUAGUCAACUACUCCAAAUGUGGACGAGCUGCUAUCUCAGUUUGCUGCCCAGUUAUCAUCUUAAGAUUCUUUUGACCUCUUUCCUGUGUUGGAGUCCCUAUUCUUGAUCCUCAUGUCUCCUUCUUUCCUGGUUUUCUCAGUUGUUUGGUUGGAACACAUUUGGCUGAAGCUUUCUAAAAAAGAAUACAUGGGCAAUUUUCUAUUUUUUUAAAAAAAGAUUGAGCAUGUCUAGAAAUAUCUUUAUCUGACCUUCUUACUUGAUUCAUGAUUUGGCUGGCAUAGAAUUCUUGGCUGGAGAGUAUUUUCCCUCAGAAUUUUGUAGGCAUCUUCUUUUAGCUUCUGCUGCUUUUAAGAAAUAGGAUGCUAUUCUUACCUGCUUUUUUUGUUUGUCUGGAAGCUUUAAGCAUCUUCUCUAAUCUCCAUUGUUCUGGAAUUUCAUGGGGAUGGUUUGUGCCUUUUUUUUGUUUAUUUUACAGGAUAUUUACUAGGCCAUUUCAAUCUGGAGACUCAUGUAUUUUAGUUCCAGAAAGUUCUUUGUAUUACUUCUUUGAUUGUUUUCUUUCCUCUGACCUUCUGUACUGAUUUCUAGAACUUAUGUAAAUCUGAUAUUGGAUUUGAUCUUCUGGAUUGACUCUAUUUUCUCUUUUAUCUUCUACCUAUGCCUUUUUGUUCUAAUUUUAGAAAUAUUUCUUCAACCUUAUCUUCUAAUGUAGUAAAUUGUAUUAGUCCAUUUUCAUGCUGUUGAUGAAGACAUACCCAAGACUGGGUAAUUUA